AAGCAAAUAUACAGUAUAAGAAAUAUAAAUAUUACAUUAAACAUCUAUCGUAAUAUUAUCAUUUGAUUUAAAAACAAGAAAAUUAGAAUAAAUAAAUAUACAAUAUUGAAAAAUUCCCUUGGAUAGCCAUUUUUAAGUUUUUGCUACAAAAUAGCUAUAAAUGAGAAAAAUAAUCAAAAUAAGUCUUAUUAAAGAGUAAAAAUACAUUUAUACCCUAUGGUUAACUAACAUAGACUUAUGGUUUAGAGUUAAGGGGUGGGAUUUUGAGGAUACGAUUUCAAAAUUUUAAAAAUAAAAAUUAAAAAAAUAAAUUUUUAAAAUAAAAGAGACUAUUUUGGUCACUUUCUUUAUUGAAUACUAUUUUGUGACAAAAAACUUAAAAGAUCUAUUUGAGAGAAUUGUCUUACAAUAUAAGAAAAAAUAAAUAAUAAGUAAAUAUACAAUAUAAGAAAGGAAAAACUAUAUCAAACAUCUAUCUAAAAAAUGUAUAGUUUUCUGAUUUUUUCUAAAGAAAUAUGUAUUCACACAUACAUACAAUUCAUAAUUUGUUGUUGUUCAGAAUACAACGUUCAAAAAAAUAACUAUAUGGUUAACAUUUGAAAAUGAAAAUAGCCCCGCACGUAGCGCAGAUUAACUCCUAGUCUUUAUAUAUAAAAGAUGUUUUGCUCUCUCCUGAGGCUGCCACCUAGGAUUCCACUUAGGAAAGUCGCUUCACGAGGAGUCAACAUGUGUCCCACCUGCUCGAAACACAGCGUUUCAUUAAAGGAAUCAGCGAUCCAUAUGGGCUAAGUUUGUGUGUGGGCUUUUUUUAAUUUGGCACAAGAAAAGCAGCCCGAUAGCAGUCAACCCUAAUAGCACAAUGUUCAUCUCCGUUCUUUGUUCUUCGUCAUCUGGUCUUCUUUUUCAUCGACCAAAAACGUUACCAGUUACAGAUUCGUCUCAUUAAACCUCUUCUUAACUCCAUCAACCACGAUCUGGUCUUGAAUGUGAACUUCUCUUCUCCGAGGCGGUGUCACUGCGAAUAUAAAAAGUUAAGCCUUCCUCUUAUCAAAACCAUCUUCUCGAUCUGUUGAACCAACAAAGUAAAGUUAUUUUCACAUAAAUGGCUAACUCGAAAGUUCUUAUUUCUCAUUUGAAAUCUGGUAAAUUUUCUUCUCCGGUUGAGGUUAGGUUGAUGCGUUGACUUCCUCUGCCUAGCAAAGGGAAACAUGAACGGUUAGUGGCUACACUCAGUCAAUUCGUCUAGACUUCUUCUUAAAUCGUUAUGGGCGUCAAUAUGCUUCUCCUUGAAGCCAAGGUUGCUCCGGCGAUUUAGUAAACAAACUCAAGUUUUUUCUAUGAUGAUUUAAAGUCAAAGUCUUUACAAGCUGAGUUUGGCGAAAAGAGGAGCUUUGGUCGCGGUUUCUGUAUUACAGUCAAGAGAUUGCAACAUAUAAAAAAAUUACUAAUGCUCUGCUUCAUAGAAGGUAUGAAGCUACAUAUGGAGUAAUUCAAUGAUGGUAUUGUACUAAGAUAAAGGCUCCUUAGUAUAUUGAAACGAGAGUCUAUAGUGGGGACAUGUAAAGUUCCUAUGUUAUAAAUACCAUUUGAGUCAAAUAUCAUAUGUAAAUUUUUUCCUUGAGUCGAUUUUAGUUUUCAACAAUGUUUUUGUUUUAAAAAAUAGAUUAUUGUAUGAUAGUUUUAAGCAAUCUGCAGGACAUUACUGAAGAAAACAAAUCUCUUCCAUGCCCAACAGAGUGGUUAUUCCGUGUUGAUAUUGUUAAUAAAUGGAAAGAGUCUAACGGUUUCAGUGCUGCCCAGAUGUUUAGAGAAUAUCAAGAUGUCUGAUACGGCCUUACUGGUUCUGCUUAUGUCUAUGAAAGCUGGCAUCAAACUGAAUCUAACCGCUUCUUCACACGUCUUCUUAACGCGUAGGGAAGAAAAGAAUGGCAUGUGAAAGAAGCUUCAUUGUUAAAACCAGGUCACCUUCUACACUCCUGGGCGUGACAAGUCAGAUAAUAGGGAAACAAAAGCUUGCUACAUGUCUCUCUAAGGUAGUUUUGUUUAUUCCUGAAUUGGUCUAAACAAGCAGAAGAAGGCUAAGGGAAACCGGAACAUUAUCUUCUGGUUGGACACAGAAGGUAAACCAAAUCAAUUUUUUAACCAUCUGAACUUUUUUUUCUAAUCAAACUGGUUUUACUUAACGGGGUUAUGAUUUUGUUGUAAUAUCUUUAAGCGCUUGGAAUGCAUUGGAUCGUUUGGUGCAAGAAAAGUUUAUGUAUAAGAAACCAGAGGAGAAGAAGGUGGUCAAGUAAAGUGAUGGAAGAUCUAACUCCAUUAAUGGAGCUAUAAUAGGAGGAAGCUUUAUGCUUGGAUCAACAAGUCUCCACCCAUAAAUGUAGACAAGACAAUCAGUUUUUUUUUUUUGCAAUUAUUAUUUGUUCCCAAUAGUCCAAAAACUACCGUUGACGAAGUCUUUUUCUUUUGUAUUUCUCAUUCACUAUAAAUAAAAAUUUCAUAUCUCUUCUUGAUUUUGCCUUUAUGUGAUAGAUUAAAACAAAAGAUUUUGUUUGGUAUGUACAAGCAAAUGUUACUUUUAUGUUAGUUUCGACUGCGAUUAGCGUUUGAUGUUGUUUGAAAUGUCAAUUUGAUCUCUUUCUUUUGCAAUGGUGCAACUGAGAAGUUUCAUCCAGGCAUAAAAGUAUUCAAAUCUGUUUUAAAUUUUCGGCCAAUAUAGUGGAUAUUUACUCUUGGAUAUAGAGGAACUCUAUUAUAGAAGUAUACAUUGGAGCAAAUCCACCUCUAUAAUAGAGAUCUCUAUUUUAGAGGAAAAUAUAGAGAUAUACAUUGGAGAUGCUCUAAUAUAGUGGAUAUUUACUCUUGGGUUGCAAUCGCUAAUGUGAUUCACGAUAUUGGUUGCAAAGGGAACAAUGGUACAUGAUCAAGCAACGGGCUAUUGGUGGCCACGAGCCACAUGAGCCACGUUAGUUGAAUCAGUGAUUUUACAUAAAUUUUUUUGAAGUGUGAUUUUACAAGUUUUCUGAAUAUUAAUAUUACGUUUGAAUCAUUGGAAAAUGCUAAUAAUUUUCAUGAGAUUAACAGAGCAUAAACCCAUAUGAAAUUAAGUUGUGAGGGUUUUAGGAAAAUUGGUUUUUAGUUCCAAAAUAGAGCAACGAUAUUAAGAUUUUUUUUUUUGUUAAAGAACAAUGUUAAGAUUUGUUAUCAUAUAAAUAUAUGUACUAAUAGUGUUGUCAUAUAAACAUAUGUACUUAUAGCAAAUCACACUUCAAAAAUGUUCAAUUGUAUCAAAAAUGAUAGGAUACAAAUUUAUUUGUGUAUGUACAUGACUUUUGUCGUAUCUCCCUUCAAAACUAUAGUAUGCAAUAAUGCUGACUUUCAUUUUACUAUUGAACAAACUUCCAAAUACGUUCCAACUAAAAACUCUAACAAUGUGAUUUCACCAUUUAUUUAUAAUAUCCCAUAAAAUAAAAUAAUAAAAUCAAAAAGAACUAAAAAAUAUCCUAACAAACAAUGAUUUUAAACUCAUUUUCAAAUGGAAAUAAUGUUUCAUAAGCUCAAACCAACGAAAAGAUCUAAUCUCACAAAUUUUUUUCUUUUGUGUUACCAAACUCAAAAACCAAAAAAUAAUAUGAAAAUUAAUGGAAAAGCAAAAUGAGCAAUUAUACAUAAUCAAACAUAUAGUUAAAAAAGAGUAACACUAUCUAAUAAAUAAAAUAAAAUACAAAUAGCAUACAUAUUACUAUAUCCCAAAUAUCAACAAACUUUUAAAUAAAGCAAAAUGGCAUCAUAACAUCGUCUCUUGCAUUUUUUAAUUAAAGAAAUUAAUUACAAAGUUUUGACGAACCGCAAUACACAAGAAAUAUAAAAAUAACAUAUGAUAAUGGAUUACCUCAAAUAAAUAAAAUUUAAAAAAAAAAGAAAAUACAUUGUCGCAAUAAAGAUAAAAUAUUAUAUCAUUCCAAGAACCACAGCAAUAUAAUUAUGCAAUUUGGUCAACAACAGCUAAUUCAGCUCUCGAUAUCAUUAGAUAUUAUAUAAAUAAAGAUCACAUGUAAAUAAU